rnacentral:lncRNA from 1 species
CCUAGGAACAACCUUUGGUCUUGUUUCAGGGCCAUGUUGUCUUGGCACUUGUAAACAGAAAAGAAACAAGUCAAAGACUAAAUAUAACUGGGUGGCUAAAAGUAGAUCAGGAAAGCAGGGAAGCAAGUGGUGUUUAUUACUCAGCUAUGACAGCACCUGCAGGCUUGUGUUUGAAAAGAGUAUGGAGAGCAUCUGCACCUCCAACAGCACCUGGAGCAACUGCAAGCAAGCAGGCUUAGCUGUGAAGGAAGGGAGCAGGCACGACACAACAGUGACACUGCUUGGCAGCAAGGAACAGAGAGGAGCUGAACCAGGACCCUCCGAAUGACAGCUGUGCUGACAAGCAGUCCUUGGAAGUGUGCGAGGAAAUGAUACGUGCCUGGCAGUCUUGCUGCUGCUCCUCCACUGCUGUGCCCUCUGUGCUGAAGAUCAUAAUGAAAUCCUAAGCAGGCAGAGAACCUCCUAAAAACCAUCCAUUGUCCCUGAGGCCCUGAGCUCUGACAGGUGGUGGAUUGCCUUUCUGCUGGUGUUCAGAUGCCUGCAGUGCAGGAACCAGAUUUCACCUUUUGCACCAUCCAUGCAGAGAUGUCUGUGGCUUUUUCCACAUGAAGUUGCUGGCAACAAAAAUGAGCUUCGUGACAGGAAGGAGGAGUUUGCUUGAACAAAAGCAGUGAAUGGCACAAAACAGUGUUUCUGUGGAUGAAAAAUUACACAUGAAAGAAAGGUAGGGAACAGUUGGCCAGGUGGCAGAAUCCCACCGCAUCCCUCAAGAUGCUGCUGGAAUGCAAAAGAAAUUGGAUUACCAACAGCAUGAUGCAAAUAGUGUACCAAAGAGAAAUUAGCCCUCAGAAAAUUCUGAACAGCAGCACUAUUUGUGAAAUGGAGGUUAAUUUCAUUUCUCUUCUUGGCAGGGGUGAGACCAGCUGAAAUACUUCACCAGCUUUCAGGCACUGACCUUGGCUGGAAAUGUGGACCCACUGGAGAGAAUUUAGAGAGCAGUAAAAUGAACAUGAGGGUCAGGAAAUGAGGAAAGGUUGAGAGCAGUGGGUAUGCUUAAUCUAGAAAAUGAAACAUUUAGUAAGGAACACGAGAAGUUUUCCAUUAUAUAAAAGGUUGCUAUUUGAGAAGAUAAAGAUCAGUUGUUCUUCUUGAUUCUUUAGGAAGAGCAGAAUGAAAUCAGAAUUAUUUUUGCUUCCUCUGCAAUUAAAAAGUCUCAGACUGGAUACUGUGUAAAGUAUGUCCUAUGCUGAAGUAGUAAUACUCCUACCAGACUGCUUGAGGAUGUAUAACAUCCUCAUUUCUUAUUAGUUUGUUACCAGAAAUCUCAAUGGCUAAAACAUGUUUAUGAAACACUAACUUUGCUUUUCGGAAGUUCGUGAAGUGCCUUCGGGACACACAGGGCUACUGAGUAAUUUCUAGAUAAAAUGAACAAAGAUGUUUUGUUCCUAACAAUAUGUGCUUCUAAUUAUCUUGAGAGCUCUGUCGGAGUGGCUCAUCCUUUCAGAACUAAUUCUGAUACUGAGCUUUAGAGAGAAUUAGACGUGCUACAGUCCAGUCAACACAAGGAAAGUAACUUGGAAAAUUAAAAACUCCUAAGGAAGUUAAACAAGGGAAAUGAUUGAUUAUGUGGUUAAUGAAAAGAAUGUCUGAAGAUGCUGUAGGAAGAAGAAACAGUUGCGGGCAUGUGACAAAGUGACCUCGACAAAGCUAUGCAUGCAGGUGAUGAAGAAAAAUCUUCCUAACAGAGAGCUGUAAAAGAGCUGGGUGGAAGCAGGAGAGUGGGCAGAUUAAAGCAGUGGCAGAUGAAGUGUAGGAGGCAGCAAAGAAAAGCUGCAAAAUACAUGAGGAUGAAGGAAAGGUUUUCCUUCCCACUUCCUUACGUUACAAGAUAGGCCUGCUUGAAAGAACUGAAAAAGAAAACAGAAAAUAUUCUUCAGCCUUGAGAUGCCUUGUAUGGUUCCUGAGGAAGACAUAGUGUCAUCAGAAACCACUACCUCACUCCAGGAAUGCCUGUUCAGAUAUACUUCUGGAUACCACAAACCGUAUCUGGAGCUCAUGUUCCUAACCCUGUAGCUACCUGUGUGUACACAGAAAAGUCUUGCAUGUUAUUUCUAUGCCUCUGUUGAAUCCUGAAUUUGCAGUUUAAUGAUUCCAUUCCUUCAUUUUAAUUUCGUUAGCUCUAUUACUGCAUGUGUUUCUCCCUUGCUAAAGUUACAAGAUGACUGGUGACCUUGCCUUAAAAUGCGUAAGUGACAUAACCACCAUACUACUUCUUUGGUACGUAUCUCUUAUUCUAGAAUUGGAGCAGGUGCUUCGUUUUUUAAAUCUAACAGCUACAUAUAUGUAAACACUAGCUAUAUAUAUAUAUAUAUGUAGCUAUAUAUAUAUUGUACAUAUAUAUAGCAUAUGUACAUAUAUAUACAUAUGUACAAAUAGGGUUAUGGCUGUUGGCAUGGUCACAUCUGCGCUAUAAAACUCUUAUAGCUACCAAAAAAGGACCACACCCAAAUCUGCAUGGGCAAUGCAUCCUUGGCCAUGCUGGAACCAACUUGUACACAGGAAUUGUUUGGGAAAAAUGGCAUGUCCUAGCCCAAAAGGGGGCCAAGGAGCACUCUAAGACUAUGACAGCGUUGAUGAGUGAAUCUCUGGGAGUCUCCUGUUCUAUUCAUGACUAG